AAAACGGCCCUUUUUAGGGCCACUAUAUUUACAAAAAGUACCGA
rfam:Acyrthosiphon pisum strain LSR1 Contig21166, whole genome shotgun sequence.